rnacentral:rRNA from 1 species
AACGAACGCUGGCGGCGCGCUUAACACAUGCAAGUCGAACGAGAAGCCGUAGCAAUACGGUUGUAAAGUGGCAAACGGGUGAGUAAUGCGUGGGUAAUCUACCCUCGGGUGGGGAAUAACUCUUCGAAAGGAGAGCUAAUGCCGACUAUGCCCGGCGGACUCGCAAGAGAUCGUCGGAAAGCCGCACCGUGGGUGCGGCGCCUGAGGAUGAGCUCAUGUCCUAUCAGCUUGUUGGCGGGGUAACGGCCCACCAAGGCUCCGACGGGUAGCUGGUCUGAGAGGACGACCAGCCACACUGGCACUGCGACACGGGCCAGACUCCUACGGGAGGCAGCAGUGAGGAAUAUUGCGCAAUGGGCGAAAGCCUGACGCAGCGACGCCGCGUGGGGGAGUGAAGGCC